AUUAGGAAUCUUGCGCAAUGGGGGCAACCCUGACGCAGCGACGCCGCGUGGAGGAAGAAGGUUCUAGGAUCGUAAACUCCUUUUAUAUGGGAAGAAUAACUGACGGUACCAUAUGAAUAAGCACCUGCUAACUACGUGCCAGAAGCAUCGGUGAUGCGUAGGGUGCAAACAUUAUCCGGAUUUAUUGGGCGUAUAGAGAUGCGUAGGCGUUUUUGUAAGUUUGUUGUCAAAUCUCAAUGCUCAACAUUGAACAGGCAACGAAAACUGCAUUGAUGGAGAAAGGAAGAGGUGAACGGAAUUCCCGGUGGAGCGGUGAAAUGCGUUGAUAUCGGGAGGAACACCAGAGGCGAAAGCGGUUCACUGGUCCUUUUCUGACGCUAAGGCUCGAAAGCGUGGGUAGCAAAACGGAUUAGAUACCCUAGUAGUCC
rnacentral:rRNA from 1 species